rnacentral:rRNA from 1 species
GAUGAACGCUGGCGGCGUGCCUAAUACAUGCAAGUCGAGCGAACAGACGCGGAGCUUGCUCCUCUGACGUUAGCGGCGGACGGGUGAGUAACACGUGGAUAACCUACCUAUAAGACUGGGAUAACUUCGGGAAACCGGCGCUAAUACCGGAUAAUAUAUUGAACCGCAUGGUUCAAUGGUGAAAGACGGUUUUGCUGUCACUUAUAGAUGGAUCCGCGCCGCUUGAGCUAGUUGGUACGGUAACGGCUUACCACGGCAACGAUGCGUAGCCGACCGGAGAGGCGGAUCGGCCACACUGGAACUGAGACACGGUCCAGACUCCUACGGGAGGCAGCAGUAGGGAAUCUUCCGCAAUGGGCGAAAGCCUGACGGAGCAACGCCGAGUGAGUGAUGAAGGUCUUCGGAUCGUAAAACUCUGUUAUUAGGGAAGAACAAAUGUGUAAGUAACUAUGCACGUCUUGACGGUACCUAAUCAGAAAGCCACGGCUAACUACGUG